UUCAGAUCCUGAUCUUUUCAAAUAUCAAUUUGCUUACUAAAGUGUUCAAGCAUAUAAAUUUUAAUUCUGAAUAUUUUGAUUUAUUGAUUCAUUUACUGUUUACUAUUAAGAGAUCAAAAAAUAAUGUAGAAAACAAUUCUUCCACAAGAGUUAUCCAUCUCUUCCACAAGAAAAUCCUUGAGUUAAUUCUUGUAAUGGAAAACUUUUUAUGGAAAAAAAAGAAUCGUUGCAAUGAAAAAUAAUAUCAAUAUAAAAAUAUUUAAAUAAGAGUUUCAACAAGACGAAAAUGCAGUAACAUCUAAAAAUAAAUUCUAAUAAUAAAAAAAUUACAGGAAAAUAUCAAAAAAAAAUUUAAGAAAUUAAGACAGAACUUUUAUGUGAGAAUAUCGAAAGAAGAUAGCUGGAAUAUAAGAAAAUAUCAAA